AGUAACGCGUAUGCAAUCUACCUUUCACAGAGGGAUAGCCCAGAGAAAUUUGGAUUAAUACCUCAUAGUAUUAUGAAGUGGCAUCACUUUAUAAUUAAAGUCACAACGGUGAAAGAUGAGCAUGCGUCCCAUCAGCUAGUUGGUAAGGUAACGGCUUACCAAGGCUACGAUGGGUAGGGGUCCUGAGAGGGAGAUCCCCCACACUGGUACUGAGACACGGACCAGACUCCUACGGGAGGCAGCAGUGAGGAAUAUUGGUCAAUGGGCGCAAGCCUGAACCAGCCAUGCCGCGUGCAGGAUGACGGUCCUAUGGAUUGUAAACUGCUUUUGUACGGGAAGAAACACUCGAACGUGUUCGAGCUUGACGGUACCGUAAGAAUAAGGAUCGGCUAACUCCGUGCCAGCAGCCGCGGUAAUACGGAGGAUCCAAGCGUUAUCCGGAAUCAUUGGGUUUAAAGGGUCCGUAGGCGGUCUGGUAAGUCAGUGGUGAAAGCCCAUCGCUCAACGGUGGAACGGCCAUUGAUACUGCCAGACUUGAAUUUCCAGGAAGCAACUAGAAUAUGUAGUGUAGCGGUGAAAUGCUUAGAUAUUACAUGGAAUACCAAUUGCGAAGGCAGGUUGCUACUGGUGGAUUGACGCUGAUGGACGAAAGCGUGGGUAGCGAACAGGAUUAGAUACCCUGGUAGUCCACGCCGUAAACGAUGGAUACUAGCUGUUGGGCGCAAGUUCAGUGGCUAAGCGAAAGUGAUAAGUAUCCCACCUGGGGAGUACGAACGCAAGUUUGAAACUCAAAGGAAUUGACGGGGGCCCGCACAAGCGGUGGAGCAUGUGGUUUAAUUCGAUG
rnacentral:rRNA from 1 species